UUUCCGGGCAGCAGCAACAUUGGUAGCGGAGGCGGAUUCUCACUGUUUCCGGCGGCUGAGAACCACCGGUUUGAUGGUCGGGCCUCGACGAACCAAGUGUUGACAAAUGCUGCAGCAUCAUCAGGAUUCUCUCCUCAUCA
rnacentral:sRNA from 1 species